rnacentral:misc_RNA from 1 species
CCGAGUUUACACAAACUCCCAAACCCUAUGUGAACCUUACCCAUCGUUGCUUCGGCGGCCGCGCCCCGGUGCCCCCGUGCCCGGACCCAGGCGCCCGCCGGGGACCCCCAAACCUUGAAUCUUUUUACAAGUGGAAUUCUGAGUGGCGCAGUCGCGCAAAAGAAAAUAAAUCA